rnacentral:lncRNA from 1 species
GCCAAUUGGCCCGUAGUUUGGCUCAAAUUUAGCCACAGGCAGAUUUAGCAUUGAAAUCCGAGCCAAAAGAAAAAUGUUUUACCUCGUUUGGCGGCUGGUAAGUGCUCCGGUGCGGCAGCGGGUGGUGGCGGUCGGUUCCUCCGGUGGCUGGGCUGUUUUCUCCGGCGAGGGCUCUGGCGACUAGGGUUUGGGGUUGGGUGUGGAUGAGAUUAUUUAU